GUGCUCAUUUCGGCAGCACAUACACUAAAAUUGGAAUGAUACAGAGAAGAUUAGCAUGGCCCCUGUGCAAGGAUGAUUGUUAAUCCUCUUAAACACUGUUUAAUUUA